GGGUGUGUAGCUUAGAUGGCAGAGCAACGGGCUUUUAACCCGUAGGUCGAGAGUUCGAAUCUCUCUACACUCA
rnacentral:tRNA from 2 species